rnacentral:rRNA from 1 species
CCUACGGGAGGCAGCAGUGGGGAAUAUUGCACAAUGGGGGAAACCCUGAUGCAGCGACGCCGCGUGAGGGAAGAAGUAUUUCGGUAUGUAAAGCUCUAUCAGCAGGGAAGAAAAUGACGGUACCUGUGUAAGAAGCUCCGGCUAAAUACGUGCCAGCAGCCGCGGUAAUACGUAUGGAGCAAGCGUGAUCCGGAUUUACUGGGCGUAAAGGGAGCGUAGGCGGCGUGCCAAGUCUGAUGUGAAAUACCGGGGCUCAACCCCGGGGCUGCAUUGGAAACUGGCAGGCUGGAGUGCCGGAGAGGCAGGCGGAAUUCCUAGUGUAGCGGUGAAAUGCGUAGAUAUUAGGAGGAACACCAGUGGCGAAGGCGGCUUGCUGGACGGUGACUGACGCUGAGGCUCGAAAGCGUGGGGAGCAAACAGGAUUAGAUACCCUGGUAGUC